GAUAACUGGCUUGUGGUGGCCAAGUGUUCAUAGCAAUGUUGGGUUUUGAUCCGUCGAUGUCAGCUCUUCCUACCAUUGUGAAGCACAAUUCACCAAGCGUUGGAUUGCUCACUCACUUAUAGGGAACCAUCGUGAGACACGUU
rnacentral:ncRNA from 1 species